rnacentral:rRNA from 1 species
GGUUAAGUUGUUAAGGGCGCACGGUGGAUGCCUUGGCACUAGGAGCCGAUGAAGGACGGUACUAACACCGAUAUGCUUCGGGGAGCUGU